GUCAUAAGUUUUCAAUAACUGCUGAAGUGAGCGCGGGAUGUCUUCAGCAUUCUUAUAAAUAUCUAAGAGGCAGUCUAUCAAUGUAAAUAUUUGAAGAUUAUAUUGGGGACAAUCAAAGAAAAUGUGACCAAGAGUUUGGAUGGAUAAAUUACAGAAUUGACAAGUUGGAGAAUCUAAAACACCGAUCCUAAAUAAACGAGCACCACUACGAGAAUGUCCCAGACGUAACCGAAAAAUUGUGGUGUAAAAUUUUCUGUAUUACUGUGUGGAGGAAUGUUGGAUGGAAUUGAAGAAGAUUCAGUUUCCGACACUACCAUGGAAAAUUUUGUGGCAAGUGAUAGCUGCCCAAAGAGUCCUGAUGAACUUGCCAUUCACAGCACAAGAAUAAUGAAGAUGAUACUAUUGUUAGAUCUAGUCCAUUUGGUCUCCAAGAAUUAGUACCCACUGUAGUUGGUUGAUCAUUAUUUAAGAGCAUUAAGUCAUUAUCGUCCAUUACAUCCAUGAUGUCUCUACCUCUAGAAUUGGUUCUAUUACAACCCCAAAUGGUAUGGGCAUUGACCUGAUACUGCAAGAUGGUUACCUUUACAGUGCACACAUACUGCUUUGUCAAUAGGUAUAGUACAUUCUUUAUAUGAAUGAUUUUCAGUGCAGAUUGAGCAACGCUGAGCAUUCUUACAGAAUUUAGCCAAGUGGUCAAACCUAAGGCAUCGGAAACACUGCUUAACUGGCGGCACAUAAGGUCGCACUGGUAGACGCCACAUCUUUAAGUGAACGUAAUCUGGGAGUGAAGUAGAUGACGCAAAAGUAAUAAUGACUGCCUGUGUAGGUUGUAAUAUAAAACCACUAUCGGAUUUGUUUUUUUUCAUUAUACGCCG